rnacentral:rRNA from 1 species
UACACGACCGUACCGCAAACCGACACUGGUGCGCGAGAUGAGUAUUCUGAGGCGCUUGAGAGAACUCAGGAGAAGGAACUCGGCAAAUUGACACCGUAACUUCGGAAGAAGGUGUGCCUUUAGUAGGUGAAGUCCCUCGCGGAUGGAGCCCAAUGAGGUUGCAAAGAAUCGGUGGCUGCGACUGUUUAUUAAAAACACAGCACUCUGCAAACACGAAAGUGGACGUAUAGGGUGUGACGCCUGCCCGGUGCUGGAAGAUUAAAUGAUGGGGUGCAAGCUCUUGAUUGAAGUCCCAGUAAACGGCGGCCGUAACGAUAACGGUCCUAAGGUAGCGAAAUUCCUUGUCGGGUAAGUUCCGACCUGCACGAAUGGCGUAACGAUGGCCACACUGUCUCCUCCUGAGACUCAGCGAAGUUGAAAUGUUUGUGAUGAUGCAAUCUCCCCGCGGAAAGACGGAAAGACCCCAUGAACCUUUACUGUAGCUUUGUAUUGGACUUUGAACAGAUCUGUGUAGGAUAGGUGGGAGGCUUUGAAGCAGGGUCGCUAGAUCUUGUGGAGCCAACGUUGAAAUACCACCCUGGUGUGUUUGAGGUUCUAACCUAGGCCCGUAAUCCGGGUUGGGGACAGUGCAUGGUAGGCAGUUUGACUGGGGCGGUCUCCUCCCAAAGUGUAACGGAGGAGUUCGAAGGUACGCUAGUUACGGUCGGACAUCGUGACGAUAGUGCAAUGGCAUAAGCGUGCUUAACUGCGAGACUGACAAGUCGAGCAGAUGCGAAAGCAGGACAUAGUGAUCCGGUGGUUCUGUAUGGAAGGGCCAUCGCUCAACGGAUAAAAGGUACUCUGGGGAUAACAGGCUGAUACCGCCCAAGAGUUCAUAUCGACGGCGGUGUUUGGCACCUCGAUGUCGGCUCAUCUCAUCCUGGGGCUGUAGCCGGUCCCAAGGGUAUGGCUGUUCGCCAUUUAAAGAGGUACGUGAGCUGGGUUUAAAACGUCGUGAGACAGUUUGGUCCCUAUCUUCCGUGGGCGCUGCAGAUUUGAGGAAGCCUGCUCCUAGUACGAGAGGACCGGAGUGGACGCACCUCUGGUGUAUCGGUUGUCACGCCAGUGGCAUUGCCGAGUAGCUAUGUGCGGAAGAGAUAACCGCUGAAAGCAUCUAAGCGGGAAACUCGUUUCAAGAUGAGAUCUGCCGGGGCCUUGAGCCCCCUGAAGAGUCGUUCAAGACCAGGACGUUGAUAGGUCGGGUGUGGAAGCGCAGUAAUGCGUUAAGCUAACCGAUACUAAUUGCUCGUGCGGCUUGACCCC